AACACUGUUAACCUGCGGUACCUGCGGAAGGAUCAUUACCGAGUUUACAACUCCCAAACCCAAUGUGAACCAUACCAAACUGUUGCCUCGGCGGGGUCACGCCCCGGGUGCGUCGCAGCCCCGGAACCAGGCGCCCGCCGGAGGGACCAACCAAACUCUUUACUGUAGUCCCCUCGCGGACGUUAUUUCUUACAGCUCUGAGCAAAAAUUCAAAAUGAAUCAAAACUUUCAACAACGGAU
rnacentral:misc_RNA from 1 species